rnacentral:rRNA from 1 species
UACGUAGGGUCCGAGCGUUGUCCGGAAUUAUUGGGCGUAAAGGGUUCGUAGGCGGUGUGGCAAGUCGGGAGUGAAAUCUCUGGGCUCAACCCAGAGUCUGCUUCCGAAACUGCUGUGCUUGAGUGUGGGAGAGGCGCGUGGAAUUGCAGGUGUAGCGGUGAAAUGCGUAGAUAUCUGCAGGAACACCCGUGGCGAAAGCGGCGCGCUGGACCACUACUGACGCUGAGGAACGAAAGCUAGGGGAGCAAACAGG